CCGGUGAGGGGGUGGGGUGUGCAGCGAGGCAGGGGCGUGGGGUGAGGCAACGGCUUGCUUGCACGGACAUCAUUUUCUCCGAGCGAGUCCAAAACUAUCUCCCUGUGAGCAAGCUGCCGCCUCACAGCAUGCCCGCAGCUGCGCACACGCGUGUGCGCAUAGUGAGUCCGAAACCUCCGAGGUAGGCCAGAUAAAUGGGCAUGGCAGCUGAAUCUGGCCUGCGGGCCAUUGUUUGAGGACCCACGGUCUAUGGAGAUCUCCAUUCCACCCAGAAAACUACAAAUUCCCCCAAGCAUUCCUGAGACUUUGGGCAUGACUAAAGCAUCUCUUUGAAUUCCUUUAUCAGUUUGUUUAUUACAGCAAAACUAUGGAUUUUUUAAAACUAGACUUUGAUUCCCAUGAAAGGCUGUUUUUGGUUUGAUGGUGGAGUUGUAAACAACACUUUGAAUCUGAAAAUGUAUUGUCGAACAGUGGUGCUGGCAAGUGCUUGGAAGACAGCUAUUAAUCAUAGCUCAAAAACCACAGGAUUCCCUUUUAAGGAUUUUGUUGUUUUGGGUGCAGUACUGUUCAUUUUGAAAUACCAUGGUGGAGUCAUCUAAGUGCAAUGCAGGAGUCAAAACACAAACUCUCUUUGCCUUCAAUCUCGCUCUCUCUUAAAUUGUGCCAAGGCUGAAGUGUAUAUAAUCCCAGAAGUUUCAACUAUACCAGUGUCUCUCUUGCAGCCUGCAGCCUGCACCUCUUCCAUUUCCUUCAAAGCAAGUAUUUUUCAGUUUCAAUUAUGAUGCCAUAGGUUUUUUGUUGUUGUUUUUUUAGGAUAUCUAGUCUGCGUAGUGUGUUAUAUGCUCCCUACUUCCCUGGGAUGGGUUGAACAAGUUCCAGGAGUCAGUACUCCUUGGACUUGGUUCCUUUUGGAGACGAGAGAGAGUGCACACACUGGAGACUUAAGAUGCCUGUUGGUCGACUGUGUGAGGGUUAAUUGAAAAACCCAUCAGCAAAAAUCAGGUGACGUUGCUGACACAUCACCAGUCUGGACCAAAAAACAGAUAUUCAGAACUGCUACGAGAUAAUUGGAAUCAGAUGUCUUUUCCCCGUUUCGAGCCUAAGGCAUUCUGGUUGCUUUAGCAACUUAUUCCCUUUGCUUCCCUUCUGAUGUCAUUCUUGGACUACAUUGCUUUGGAACGUAGUGGUAGUGGCUGCCGGAAUAGGGAGGUUUAUAGUACUCGGAAAUAUCGCCUUGUGUGCACACACACUCUUGGUCCUCAGGAGACUGAGAGCACAAUCUAGAAAUUUAGUGAACACCUCUAUUGAAAGUAAUGCAAUCAGACUUCAAUUAUGACCAAUCUGAAUAACAAGCCAAAGCAAUUCAGUUUGGCCAAAUUGUAUCUUAAGUAUCUAAGCUGACUGAUCAUUUUAAGAGUUGGUGGCAUAACAGACAGCCUUUUCUGCAGUGACCCCUACAUCUCUGGAAUGGGUUCCCAACAGGUCCAUAGUACCCCAUCAGUGCAAAC